GUGAGGAAUUAUGCGCAAUGGGGGCAACCCUGACGCUGCGACGCCGCGUGGGUGAUGAAGGUCUUCGGAUCGUAAAACCCUGUCGAGAGGGGCGAAAGAGCGGGGCGUUAACACCGCUUCGCUUUGACGGUACCUCUGGAGGAAGCCCCGGCUAACUCCGUGCCAGCAGCCGCGGUAAUACGGAGGGGGCAAGCGUUGUUCGGAAUUACUGGGCGUAAAGCGCGCGUAGGCGGUUGGGUAAGUCAGAUGUGAAAGCCCCCAGCUCAACUGGGGAACUGCGUCUGAUACUGCUCGGCUUGAGUCCGAUAGGGGAUGGCAGAAUUCCCGGUGUAGCGGUGGAAUGCGUAGAUAUCGGGAGGAAUACCGAUGGCGAAGGCGGCCAUCUGGGUCGGUACUGACGCUGAGGCGCGAAAGCUAGGGGAGCAAACAGGAUUAGAUACCCCGGUAGUCC
rnacentral:rRNA from 1 species